rnacentral:rRNA from 1 species
AGCGCAGGCGGAUGAGCAAGUCAGCUGUGAAAACUACAGGCUUAACUUGUAGAUUGCAGUUGAAACUGUUCACCUUGAGUGGAGUAGAGGUAAGCGGAAUUCCGAGUGUAGCGGUGAAAUGCGUAGAUAUUCGGAGGAACACCAGUGGCGAAGGCGGCUUACUGGGCUCUAACUGACGCUGAGGCUCGAAAGUGUGGGGAGCAAACA